rnacentral:tRNA from 1 species
AGACAUUUUAACUAUUUAAGUAUAUAUUUUGAAAAUAUAAAAAAGAAUUUCUCUAAAUGUCUU